AGUGAACGCUGGCGGCAGGCCUAAUACAUGCAAGUCGAGCGAGCGGCGGACGGGUGAGUAAUGUCUGGGAAACUGCCUGAUGGAGGGGGAUAACUACUGGAAACGGUAGCUAAUAACGCAUACUAUCAGCUGUGCCAAGAUGGGAUGAGCUAGUAGGUGGGGUAACGGCUCACCUAGGCGACGAUCCCUAGCUGGUCUGAGAGGAUGACCAGCCACACUGAAACUGAGACACGGUCCAGACUCCUACGGGAGGCAGCAGUGGGGAAUAUUGCACAAUGGGCGCAAGCCUGAUACAGCCAUGCCGCGUGUGUGAAGAAGGCCUUCGGGUUGUAAAGCACUUUCAGCGGGGAGGCGUUACCCGCAGAGAAAGCACCGACUAACUCCGUGCCAGCAGGCGCGGUAAUUC
rnacentral:rRNA from 1 species